rnacentral:rRNA from 1 species
AGAGUGAACGCUGGCGGUAGGCCUAACACAUGCAAGUCGAACGGCAGCACAGGAGAGCUUGCUCUCUGGGUGGCGAGUGGCGGACGGGUGAGGAAUACAUCGGAAUCUACCUUUUCGUGGGGGAUAACGUAGGGAAACUUACGCUAAUACCGCAUAAGACCUUCGGGUGAAAGCCGGGGACCUUCGGGCCUGGCGCGGAUAGAUGAGCCGAUGUCGGAUUAGCUUGUUGGCGGGGUAAAAGCCCACCAAGGCGACGAUCCGUAGCUGGUCUGAGAGGAUGAUCAGCCACACUGGAACUGAGACACGGUCCAGACUCCUACGGGAGGCAGCA